rnacentral:rRNA from 1 species
UACGUAGGGGGCGAGCGUUGUCCGGAAUCAUUGGGCGUAAAGCGCGUGUAGGCGGCCCGGUAAGUCCGCUGUGAAAGUCCAGGGCUCAACCCUGGGAUGCCGGUGGAUACUGUCGGGCUCGAGUCCGGAAGAGGCGAGUGGAAUUCCUGGUGUAGCGGUGAAAUGCGUAGAUAUCGAGAGGAACACCUGCGGCGAAGGCGGGUUGCUGGGCUGACACUGACGCUGAGAUACGAAAGCGUGGGGAUCAAACAGG